rnacentral:rRNA from 1 species
GGUUAAGAUACUAAGGGCGCAUGGUGGAUACCUUGGCACUGACUGACGAUGAAGGACGUGGUUAGCUGCGAUAAGCUUCGGGUAGCUGCUAACAGCAUUAAUCCGAAGAUUUCCGAAUGGGGAAACCCUGCCAGAGUAAUGUCUGGCAACUAUUAUCUGAAUUCAUAGGAUAUUAGAGGCAACCAGGGGAACUGAAACAUCUAAGUACCCUGUGGAAAAGAAAUCAACCGAGAUUCUCCUAGUAGUGGCGAGCGAACGGGGAAGAGCCUAAACCUGAUGUAUGUUAGUAACUUGCAGGUGCUGUAUAUCAGGGGUUGCGAGACUUAAUGUGCCAGAGCUGCUAAUCUGGCGUGAAGUUACAAAGGUUUAUAUUAGCAAAAGUAAGCUGGAAAGCUUUACCAUAGUAGGUGAUAGUCCUGUAUGCGACAAUGUAAACUCUUCAUAAUUUUGUUCUCAAGUACCAUGGGACACGUGGAAUCCCGUGGGAAUCUGGGGAGCCCACUCUCCAAGGCUAAAUACACGUCAGUGACCGAUAGUGAACCAGUACCGCGAGGGAAAGGUGAAAAGAACCCCGGAAGGGGAGUGAAAUAGAACAUGAAACCGUGUGCCUACAAACAAUUGGAGUCCCGUUUAGCGGGAUGACAAUGUGCCUAUUGAAGAAUGAGCCGGCGAGUUACGGUCAGCAGCAAGGUUAAGGUUUAUGCCGGAGCCAGAGCGAAAGCGAGUCUGAAUAGGGCGUUAGUUGCUGAUUGUAGACCCGAAACUGGGUGAUCUAUCCAUGGGCAGGUUGAAGCCCGUGUAAAAGCGGGUGGAGGACCGAACCAGUUGAUAUUGAAAAAUCUUUGGAUGACCUGUGGAUAGGGCUGAAAUUGCAAUCGAACCCAGAGAUAGCUGGUUCUCUCCGAAAUGUCUUUAGGGACAGCCUCGGACGAAGAUUAGCAGAGGUAGAGCUCUGUUUGAGCUAGGGGCCUCACCAGGGUUACCAAACUCAGGCAAACUACGAAUGCUGCUAAUUAAUAUCCGGGAGUGAGAACGCGAGGGAUAAGCUUCGCGCUCAAAAGGGAAACAACCCAGACCAUCAGCUAAUGUCCCCAAAUGUAUGCUAAGUGUGAAAAGAGGUGAAGUCGCUCAGACAGCCAGGAUGUUGGCUUAGAAGCAGCCAUCAUUUAAAGAAAGCGUAAUAGCUCACUGGUCGAGCGAUUUUGCGCUGAAGAUUUAACGGGGCUCAAGCAUACUACUGAAGCUAUGGAUCUGUAUCGCAAGAUACAGGUGGUAGGAGAGCGUUCCAUCUUAGGAUGAAGUCAAUGCGGAAGCAUUGGUGGACGAAAUGGAAGUGAGAAUGCCGGCAUGAGUAACGAAAAAAUAAGUGAGAAUCUUAUUCGCCGAUAACCUAAGGUUUCCUGGGCAAGGCUCGUCCUCCCAGGGUAAGUCGGUCCUAAGAUGAGGCCGAAGGGCGUAGUCGAUGGGCAACAGGUUAAUAUUCCUGUACUACCUGAUUUUGUUUGACCAAUGGGGUGACACAGUAGGAUAUGUUGGCCACUUAUUGGAUUGUGGUGCAAGUAUGUAGGGAGAGAGAAUAGGCAAAUCCGUUCUCUCAUUAAUCCUGAGGUAUUACGCCGAGCCCGUAAGGGUGAAGCAAUUGACUCCACACUGGCGAGAAAAACCUCUAGGGAGAAAUCAGGUAUCCGUACUAAAACCGACACAGGUAGGUAAGUAGAAAAUACUAAGGCGCGCGAGAUAACCCUCGUUAAGGAACUCGGCAAAAUGACUCCGUAACUUCGGGAGAAGGAGUGCCAUUGUAGAGUGAAGGUUUUUACAACUGGAGCUUGAAAUGGUUGCAGUGAAACGUCCCAGGCGACUGUUUACCAAAAACACAGGUCUCUGCUAAACCGUAAGGUGAUGUAUAGGGGCUGACGCCUGCCCAGUGCUGGAAGGUCAAGAGGAGGUGUUAGCCGCAAGGCGAAGCAGCGAAUCAAAGCCCCAGUGAACGGCGGCCGUAACUAUAACGGUCCUAAGGUAGCGAAAUUCCUUGUCGGGUAAGUUCCGACCCGCACGAAAGGCGUAACGAUCUGGGAGCUGUCUCAACGAGGGGCUCGGUGAAAUUGGAUUAUCAGUGAAGAUACUGAUUACCCGCAAUAGGACAGAAAGACCCCGUGGAGCUUUACUGUACCUUGACUUUGAAUUUUUGAAUUUCAUGUGCAGGAUAGGUGGGAGGCUUUGAAGCAGGAGCGUCAGCUUCUGCUGAGCCGUCGUUGAGAUACCACCCUUGAAAUUUAGGAAUUCUAACUUUGGCCGUGAUCCGGUCAGAGGACAGAGUUUGGGAGGCAGUUUGACUGGGGCGGUCGCCUCCAAAAAAGUAACGGAGGUGCUCAAAGGUUCCCUCAGGACGAUUGGAAACCGUCCAUAGAGUGUAAGGGCAUAAGGGAGCUUAACUGCGAGACUGACAUGUCGAGCAGGGACGAAAGUCGGACCUAGUGAUCCGGUGACGCCGCGUGGAAGGGUCAUCGCUCAACGGAUAAAAGUUACCCCGGGGAUAACAGGCUUAUUCCUCCCAAGAGUUCACAUCGACGGAGGAGUUUGGCACCUCGAUGUCGGAUCGUCACAUCCUGGAGCUGGAGCAGGUUCCAAGGGUUGGGCUGUUCGCCCAUUAAAGUGGUACGCGAUCUGGGUUCAGAACGUCGUGAGACAGUUCGGUCCAUAUCCAUUGUGGGCGCAGGAAAUUUGAGGGGAGUUGUUCUUAGUACGAGAGGACCGGAAUGAACAGACCUCUGGUGUACCGGUUGUCGCGCCAGCGGCAUACGCCGGGUAGCUACGUCUGGACUGGAUAAGCGCUGAAAGCAUCUAAGCACGAAGCCAACCCCAAGAUUAGAUUUCCCAUUCCAUAAGGAAGUAAGACCUCUAGAAGACUACUAGGUUGAUAGGUCAGGGGUGUAAGCGCAGCAAUGCGUUAAGCUGACUGAUACUAAUUGGUCGAGGUCUUAACCUA